GAUGAACGCUGGCGGCGUGCCUAAUACAUGCAAGUCGAGCGAUCAGACGCGAAACUUGCCUCUCUGAUGUUAGCGGCGCGCGUGAGUGAAACGCAUGUAUCACCUCCCUAUGAGUCUGGGAUCACUUCGGGAAAUCGGAGCUAAUACCAUAUAAUAAUUUGAACCGCAUGGUUUAAAAGCUCAAGACGGUUGUGCUGCCACUUAUAGAUGGUGCCGUGGUUCAGUAGCUAGUUGAUAAGGUAACGGCUUACCAAGGCAACGGAGCAUAGCCGACCUGGGAGGGUGAUCGGCCAAACUGGGAAUGGGACAAGGGCCAGACUCCUACGGGAGGCAGCAGGAGGGAAUCUUCGGAAAUGGGCGGAAGCCUGACGGAGCAACGCCGCGUGAGUGAAGAAGGUCUUCGGAUCGUAAAACUCUGUUAUUAGGGAAGAACAUGUGUGUGAGUAACAGGGGGCAUCUUUGACGGUACUAAACAAAAAAGCACGGGCUAACUCCGUG
rnacentral:rRNA from 1 species